rnacentral:rRNA from 1 species
GACGGGGGGGGGGCAAGUGUUCUUCGGAAUGACUGGGCGUAAAGGGCACGUAGGCGGUGAAUCGGGUUGAAAGUGAAAAGUCGCCAAAAAAGUGGCGGAAUGCUCUCGAAACCAAAUUCACUUGAGUGAGACAGAGGAGAGUGGAAAUUUUCGUGUGUAGGGGUGAAAUCCGUAAAUUAUACGAAGGAAACGCCAAAAAGCGAAGGCAGCUCUCUGGGUCCCUACCCGAGCUGGGUGCGAAAAGCAUGGGGAGCGAACAGGG